CGCACAUUGCGCCCAUUAGUAUUCUAGUGGGCAUGCCUGUUCGAGCGUCAUUUCAACCCCUAAGCACAGCUUAUUGUUGGGAAUCUACGGUCGUAGUUCCUCAAAGACAUUGGCGGAGCGGCAGCAGUCCUCUGAGCGUAGUAAUUCUUUAUCUCGCUUUUGUUAGGCGCUGCCCCCCCGGCCGUAAAACCCCCCCUUUUUUCUGGUUGACCUCGGAUCAGGUAGGAAUACCCGCUGAACUUAA
rnacentral:misc_RNA from 1 species